rnacentral:rRNA from 1 species
CCUACGGGAGGCUGCAGUGGGGAAUAUUGCGCAAUGGGCGCAAGCCUGACCCAGCAACGCCGCGUGAAGGAAGAAGGCUUUCGGGUUGUAAACUACUUUUCUGAGGGACGAAGAAAGUGACGGUACCACCGGAAUAAGUUACGGCUAACUACGUGCCAGCAGCCGCGGUAAUACGUAGGUGGCAAGCGUUAUCCGGAUUUAUUGGGUGUAAAGGGCGUGUAGGCGGGAAAGCAAGUCAGAUGUGAAAACUCAGGGCUCAACCCUGAGCCUGCAUUUGAUACUGGUUAUCUUGAGUGCUGGAGAGGCAAUCGGAAUUCCGUGUGUAGCGGUGAAAUGCGUAGAUAUACGGAGGAACACCAGUGGCGAAGGCGGAUUGCUGGACAAUAACUGACGCUGAGGCGCGAAAGCGUGGGGAGCAAACAGGAUUAGAUACCCCGGUAGUC